UUACAUUACCCACGAUAGUUACCACAAUGGUUACCACAUAGUUACCACAGUUACCACGUAGUUACAUUACCACGAUAGUUACGAUAGUCACCACGUAGUUACCACGAUAGUUGCGACGUAGUUACCACGUAGUUACCACAUUACCACGAUAGUUACGAUAGUCACCACGUAGUUACCACGAUAGUUGCGACGUAGUUACCACGUAGUUACCACAUUACCACGAUAGUUACGAUAGUUACCACGAUAGUUACCACGUACUUACCACAUUACAACGAUAGUUACGAUAGUUACCACAUAGUUACCACGAUACAUACAAUACAGAAUCACAAGACUAAUUGUAACAUGGAAGAUACCUGGGUGUGAAAGUUUAUUGUUGACCUUUUGAAAAUGAAAAAAAGAAGCUUUAAGCUACCAGCUUUACAGGCCCAACACAUCCAGUUGAUGAAGGAUCUUUUAAAGAGUUCAUCAAUUAGUGUUGGCGGAUAUCUUCAAGCUACAAAUCACCUUUUUGAAGUUUCAAGUUGACAUAUUUCGAAUGCAGUGGAAUCAUGGGAGCAAAAAGAGUGAGUUAAAGUAUAUCCGGCCCUCAGACUGCAGUCGGGUUUUCAUCAGAA
ensembl:lncRNA